rnacentral:rRNA from 1 species
UAAAGGAAUUGGCGGGGGAGCACCACAAGGGGUGAAGCCUGCGGUUCAAUUGGAGUCAACGCCAGAAAUCUUACCCGGAGAGACAGCAGAAUGAAGGUCAAGCUGAAGACUUUACCAGACAAGCUGAGAGGUGGUGCAUGGCCGUCGCCAGCUCGUGCCGUGAGAUGUCCUGUUAAGUCAGGUAACGAGCGAGAUCCCUGCCACUAGUUGCUAUCAUUAUUCUCAGGAAUAGUGGGGCGAAUUAGUGGGACUGCCGUUGUUAAAACGGAGGAAGGAAGGGGCUACGGCAGGUCAGUAUGCCCCGAAACUCUGGGGCCACACGCGGGCUGCAAUGGUAGUGACAAUGAGUUCCAAACUCGAAAGAGAGUGGCAAUCUCUAAACGCUACCACAGUUAUGACUGAGGGCUGUAACUCGCCCUCACGAAUAUGGAAUCCCUAGUAACCGCGUGUCAUUACCGCGCGGUGAAUACGUCCCUGCUCCUUGCACACACCGCCA